rnacentral:rRNA from 1 species
AGCGAUCUUCUUCGGAAGAGAGCGGCGGACGGGUGAGUAACGCGUGGGUAACCUGCCUCAUACACAUGGAUAACAUACCGGAAGGUAUGCUAAUACAAGAUGAUAUAAGAGAUUCGCAUGGAUUUCUUAUCAAAGCUCCGGCGGUAUGAGAUGGACCCGCGUCUGAUUAGCUAGUUGGUGAGGUAACGGCCCACCAAGCCGACGAUCGGUAGCCGACCUGAGAGGGUGAUCGGCCACAUUGGGACUGAGACACGGCCCAAACUCC